CUUAGAGUUUGAUCCUGGCUCAGGAUGAACGCUAGCUACAGGCUUAACACAUGCAAGUCGAGGGGAAACGAUAUCGAAAGCUUGCUUUUGAUGGGCGUCGACCGGCGCACGGGUGAGUAACGCGUAUCCAACCUGCCCACCACUUGGGGAUAACCUUGCGAAAGUAAGACUAAUACCCAAUGACGUCUCUAGAAGACAUCUGAAAGGGAUUAAAGAUUUAUCGGUGAUGGAUGGGGAUGCGUCUGAUUAGCUUGUUGGCGGGGUAACGGCCCACCAAGGCGACGAUCAGUAGGGGUUCUGAGAGGAAGGUCCCCCACAUUGGAACUGAGACACGGUCCAAACUCCUACGGGAGGCAGCAGUGAGGAAUAUUGGUCAAUGGACGAGAGUCUGAACCAGCCAAGUAGCGUGCAGGAUGACGGCCCUAUGGGUUGUAAACUGCUUUUAUAAGGGAAUAAAGUGAGUCUCGUGAGACUUUUUGCAUGUACCUUAUGAAUAAGGACCGGCUAAUUCCGUGCCAGCAGCCGCGGUAAUACGGAAGGUCCGGGCGUUAUCCGGAUUUAUUGGGUUUAAAGGGAGCGUAGGCCGGAGAUUAAGCGUGUUGUGAAAUGUAGACGCUCAACGUCUGCACUGCAGCGCGAACUGGUUUCCUUGAGUACGCACAAAGUGGGCGGAAUUCGUGGUGUAGCGGUGAAAUGCUUAGAUAUCACGAAGAACUCCGAUUGCGAAGGCAGCUCACUGGAGCGCAACUGACGCUGAAGCUCGAAAGUGCGGGUAUCGAACAGGAUUAGAUACCCUGGUAGUCCGCACGGUAAACGAUGGAUGCCCGCUGUUGGUCUGAAUAGGUCAGCGGCCAAGCGAAAGCAUUAAGCAUCCCACCUGGGGAGUACGCCGGCAACGGUGAAACUC
rnacentral:rRNA from 1 species